rnacentral:sRNA from 12 species
ACUGUGGAGUGUACAGGAACCUGUGAGUAGAUAUGGCUUUAGUCAAUCAAAAGCAUACACGAAGAAGCAGUAA